rnacentral:rRNA from 1 species
CCUACGGGAGGCAGCAGUGAGGAAUAUUGGUCAAUGGUCGGGAGACUGAACCAGCCAAGCCGCGUGAGGGAUGAAGGUACAGAGUAUCGUAAACCUCUUUUGUCAGGGAACAAAGGCGGGGACGUGUCCCCGGAUGAGAGUACCUGAAGAAAAAGCAUCGGCUAACUCCGUGCCAGCAGCCGCGGUAAUACGGAGGAUGCGAGCGUUAUCCGGAUUUAUUGGGUUUAAAGGGUGCGCAGGCGGUCGGUAAAGUCAGCGGUAAAAGUCCGGGGCUCAACCCCGGCCAGCCGUUGAAACUGGCAGUCUUGAGUGGGAGAGAAGUAUGCGGAAUGCGCGGUGUAGCGGUGAAAUGCAUAGAUAUCGCGCAGAACUCCGAUUGCGAAGGCAGCAUGCCGGCGCCACACUGACGCUGAGGCACGAAAGCGUGGGUAUCGAACAGGAUUAGAUACCCGUGUAGUC